CAGUCGCCGCGGUAAAACGGAGGGUGCAAGCGUUAAUCGGAAUUACUGGGCGUAAAGCGUGCGUAGGCGGUUCGUUAAGUCUGUUGUGAAAGCCCCGGGCUCAACCUGGGAAUGGCAAUGGAUACUGGCGAGCUAGAGUGUGUCAGAGGAUGGUGGAAUUCCCGGUGUAGCGGUGAAAUGCGUAGAGAUCGGGAGGAACAUCAGUGGCGAAGGCGGCCAUCUGGGACAACACUGACGCUGAGGCACGAAAGCGUGGGGAGCAAACAGGAUUAGAUACCCCGGUAGUCCCUGUCUCUUAUAC
rnacentral:rRNA from 1 species